rnacentral:miRNA from 1 species
CAAACCAUUAUGUGCUGUUACU